rnacentral:rRNA from 1 species
AUGUUCAACAAUGCAAUUGCUUCUAUGGCACUUAGGGAAGUGACUAGAACGGGGGCGAGAUACACUUGGACCAACAAGCAACUUGCCCCGGUGCGAUCGGUCCUGGAUCGUGCCUUCAUGUCUCCGGACUGGGAAGUGCUUUUCUCUUUGUGCUCGCUCCUUGCUGAAACGAGGAUCGGCUCAGAUCAUGUUCCCCUAAUUUUAUCUUCAGGGGAAGAUAGAAUUCGGCGCAGCCCGCGGUUUUUCUUCGAAACUGCGUGGUUCGAGGUCCCUGACUUUGACGCAAUCUUUAGGGAGAGGUGGCUUCGAAGUGUCCAGCUAGCAGGCCUGCAGCAUGGCCCGAUGGAGCUGUGGAUUGUGGUGGGGGCCCGCCUGCGCGCAAGCCUUAAGGGGUGGGGCGCGAACCAGGGACGGGAUGCGAAGGUCCUCAGGGCGAGGCUUUUGGCAGACAUCGCCUCCCUGGAUAUCCAAGCGGACACUCGCCCUUUCUCGGAGCCCGAAUGGGCACAGCGCUACGCCUUGGAAGGACAAGUCGAAGCUUUGCUGUGGGCCGAGGAGGAGUAUUGGAGGCGUCGAGGCGGCCUGAAAUGGACGCUCAAAGGGGACGCCAAUACCCAGUAUUUCCAUGCCUACGCGAACGGCCGGCGUAGGAAGUGCUCUAUCCUUAGGCUGCAGACGGAGCAGGGGCUCCUUCUUCAUCAAGCGGAGAUCUCCAACCACAUGUACGACUUCUACAUAAGCUUGAUGGGGACGGAGGAGGCUCAGCGCGCCCGCCUGCGAGCCGAUGUGUGGCUGCCGUAUCAGCGAGUGCUUGAUAGUGAGAACGAGGAGUUGGGGCUUGCGUUUCUUCCUAAGGAAAUCGAUGACACGCUGCAUAGCAUGAAAACGGACACGGCACCUGGCCCUGACGGGUGGCCAGUGGCGAUGUUUAAACAUUUUUGGCCACUGCUUCGUGGCCCUAUCUUUGACGUGUGCAACGGUUUUAUGCGCGGCUUUGUUGAUAUCGCUAGGCUGAACUACGGUGUGCUUUCGCUCAUACCGAAAGUUCCGGGCGCGGACAAUAUCCGGCAGUACAGGCCCAUUGCCCUCAUUAACGUGCCGUUCAAAAUUUGUGCCAAAGGUUGCGCCUCUAGACUCUCACCGAUCGUCCACCGCACCAUUAGUCGCUCGCAAUUGGCGUUUAUUCGCGGCAGGAACAUCCUCGAGGGCCCUUUAGCUUUGCAGGAGACCCUUCACGAGCUUAGACGCUCUCACGAACCGACGAUCCUCCUGAAAUUAGAUUUCGAGAAGGCAUAUGACCGCGUCAACUGGGCCUUUCUUCGGCAAGUCCUCUCCAGUAGGGGAUUCUCGCCUAUUUGGGUGCACCGCAUUAUGCAAUUGGUCUUGGGGGGCCAGACCGCUAUCUCGGUUAAUGGAGAAGUAGGGAAUUUCUUCAGGAACAAGCGAGGCCUGCGUCACGGGGACCCCAUGUCUCCUAUCCUUUUCAACUUUAUCGCCGAUGCGUUGGCUGCCAUGCUGCAGAAAGCCACGGAGGCUGGGCACAUUAAAGGGGUGUUGGGGCACCUUAUCCCAGGGGGGAUCACUCACUUGCAAUACGCGGACGAUACGCUCCUGCUAUUCCAACCAGACCUGCACAGCAUUGCCACUGUCAAAGCGCUGCUCAUUAGUUUCGAACUUAUGUCGGGUCUUAAGAUAAACUUCCACAAAAGCGAAGUGAUGUCUUUGGGCGUGGAGACGCAGGACAGUAGGCGAGUCGCGGACCUCCUUAAUUGCAAGUUGGGCAAACUCCCGUUCACCUAUUUGGGCCUUCCGUUAGAUGCUAAGCGCAUUAAGAUAGAUGGAUGGGCCCCACUGUGGACCAAGGUGGGUGGUCGGGUGUGCCCCUGGAGGGGGAAGUUCCUCUCCUCCGCAGCCAGGUUGGUGCUCACAAACUCGAGCCUCUCCUCGCUGCCCCAAUUCGCAAUGGGGCUGUUCCUUCUGGCCGCUGGGGUGCACGCCAGGAUGGACACUCCCCGGUCCCGCUUCUUUUGGGAAGGAACGGGACCUAAGCGCAAAUACCACAUGGUUCGCUGGGAUGCAGUGUGUCGUCCGAAAGCCCAGGGAGGGCUUGGGAUCACGAACACCAGGAUCCUUAACAUCGCACUCAUGUGUAAGUGGAUCUGGAAGUUGUCGCAGGGCGCGACAGGCCUGUGGGUUGACCUUCUUCGAGCUAAGUACUUCCCGUCUGGGAACUUCUUCGAAGGAGUAGCCAGGGGCUCUCCGUUUGGGAAUGACCUUCAAGCGGUUCGGCCUGCUUUCGCCUUGGGAGCCAAGUUCUCUGUAGGCAACGGUCGUUCGGCCCAUUUCUGGCUGGAUCAUUGGGUGGGUUCACAGCCACUCUGGUCCAUCUUCCAGGACCUGUACAUCCAGGCGGUCAACCCGGACUUGACCGUAGCCGAGGCCCUUGCCUCCUCUCCACCUGCGCUCUGUUUUAGACGCGAGCUUUCGGGAGCGGAGGCGGCGCACCUAGCGGAGUUGCGUGAGCUCAUCGCACCGGUGUCGCUUUCCACGCACGCGAAUACAGUGUCGUGGUCUCUCACAUCUUCAGGCAAGUUCUCCGUGAAAUCUUUGUACCAUAAGAUGUGUCAGAGCCAGACCUGCCUUGUGCCCAAAGGCCUUUGGACCACGCGCCUCCCGCUCAAAAUCAAAGUUUUCUUCUGGCAGUUGUUUCGCAACAAACUGCCCACCUCGGCUAAUGUAGCCAAACGGAACGGUCCGUCGAUGGGCACUUGCGCGGUGUGCCACGUCGAGGAGGAUGCGAACCAUGUUUUCUUCCGCUGCCCGCUGGCUCGUUUUGCGUGGAGUGCGGUCGGAGCCGCCGCCAACACCUCUUGGAACCCGCGAUUGACCUUCGAUCUGGCGGAGUUAUUUGCCUCGGCUUCGGAAGGCAAUAACCGCGUGCUGUGGAGCUGUAUUGGAGCCCUAGCUUGGUCUCUUUGGCUCACUAGGAAUAAACUGCAAUCGAGGGUAUUUUCCCAACGCACCCGGCUAACAUACUAUAUAAAUGCAACCUCUUCUUGCAGCAGUGGAGUUCGUUGGUGA